UACGUAGGCAGCAAGCGUUGUUCGGAGUUACUGGGCGUAAAGGGUGUGUAGGCGGUUCUCUAAGUCUGGUGUGAAAUCUCCCGGCUCAACUGGGAGGGUGCGCCGAAACUGGAGGACUAGAGUGCGGGAUGGGAGAGUGGAAUUCCUGGUGUAGCGGUGAAAUGCGUAGAUAUCAGGAGGAACACCUGUGGUGUAGACGGCUCUCUGGACCGCAAUUGACGCUGAGACACGAAAGCGUGGGUAGCAAACAGG
rnacentral:rRNA from 1 species